UGAUUAUGACGUACUUGUACUGAUUGAGAUUUUAACACGAAGUGAGUGGCGAACGGGUGAGUAACACGUGGGUAACCUGCCCAGAAGUAGGGGAUAACACCUGGAAACAGAUGCUAAUACCGUAUAACAGAGAAAACCGCAUGGUUUUCUUUUAAAAGAUGGCUCUGCUAUCACUUCUGGAUGGACCCGCGGCGUAUUAGCUAGUUGGUGAGGUAAAGGCUCACCAAGGCAGUGAUACGUAGCCGACCUGAGAGGGUAAUCGGCCACAUUGGGACUGAGACACGGCCCAGACUCCUACGGGAGGCAGCAGUAGGGAAUCUUCCACAAUGGACGCAAGUCUGAUGGAGCAACGCCGCGUGAGUGAAGAAGGGUUUCGGCUCGUAAAGCUCUGUUGUUAAAGAAGAACGUGGGUAAGAGUAACUGUUUACCCAGUGACGGUAUUUAACCAGAAAGCCACGGCUAACUACGUGCCAGCAGCCGCGGUAAUACGUAGGUGGCAAGCGUUAUCCGGAUUUAUUGGGCGUAAAGCGAGCGCAGGCGGUCUUUUAAGUCUAAUGUGAAAGCCUUCGGCUCAACCGAAGAAGUGCAUUGGAAACUGGGAGACUUGAGUGCAGAAGAGGACAGUGGAACUCCAUGUGUAGCGGUGAAAUGCGUAGAUAUAUGGAAGAACACCAGUGGCGAAGGCGGCUGUCUGGUCUGCAACUGACGCUGAGGCUCGAAAGCAUGGGUAGCGAACAGGAUUAGAUACCCUGGUAGUCCAUGCCGUAAACGAUGAUUACUAAGUGUUGGAGGGUUUCCGCCCUUCAGUGCUGCAGCUAACGCAUUAAGUAAUCCGCCUGGGGAGUACGACCGCAAGGUUGAAACUCAAAAGAAUUGACGGGGGCCCGCACAAGCGGUGGAGCAUGUGGUUUAAUUCGAAGCUACGCGAAGAACCUUACCAGGUCUUGACAUCUUCUGACAGUCUAAGAGAUUAGAGGUUCCCUUCGGGGACAGAAUGACAGGUGGUGCAUGGUUGUCGUCAGCUCGUGUCGUGAGAUGUUGGGUUAAGUCCCGCAACGAGCGCAACCCUUAUUACUAGUUGCCAGCAUUAAGUUGGGCACUCUAGUGAGACUGCCGGUGACAAACCGGAGGAAGGUGGGGACGACGUCAAAUCAUCAUGCCCCUUAUGACCUGGGCUACCACC
rnacentral:rRNA from 1 species